GAAAUACAGCAAAGGGGCCUGGGCUGCAUUCAAACCCAGCCGCUGCAGUGACACUCAGCCUUCAUGGCUUUGUUAAAACUUUCUGCAAUGUGAAUAAAAGACAUCGGAGCAUACCUGCGUCCUCUUGGUGCGGAGCCGAACGAGCUGCUAGAUGAGAAGCAGAUGCUGGAGCUCAAAGCGCGACGUGCAUUCAGACACGAAGCCACAAAACAACAGAUAGGCAGACAUGCAUGCUGUAGCUGGCACAGGACUAACAAGAUGGACAAGCUGUGCAAAAGUCUCUCUCCCCCUCCCUUCUCCCUCUGCCUCUCACCCACCCCACCUCCCAAAUCCAUGACAUAACAGUUGGCUGGGGAGCAGUCGGUGGUGACUUUGCUGUCUGUUCAGACUGAAUAAGCAGAUUAUCAGUGAGUCCACGGUGUGCUGCUGUGAGCUGCUGACACUGAGUGGAAAGAGUGCUAUUUCUAAAGCUGGACUUCCCAACUUCUACUUCCCUCUACUGGCAAGGCAUGUUACAAGACUGGAAACUAUGCUGGGAGGCUUUUAUAAGUGCCUCCUUCGAGCCGGAUUUGAACCAGCGACCUAAGGAUGCCUGUUAAAGCCACUACAGUCCUCCGCUCUACCAACUGAGCUAUCGAAGGGAGUUCAACAUGGGUGUACAAAGAUGAGUAGUAUUCUUUUCACAAUGUACAUAUCCUGUGCAGUAAUGAUAAAUAAUUAAGUGUAAAAUAUUCACUUUAUAUCAAAAUUGAAGGGAAGCCAAUGUUCAACUGCAUCAUGUUUUCUCCACUGAGAAGACACCCAAAGAGCAUUUUACUACUUAAGUUAAGGUAGCAACACCUCUGCUACAAGGAAAAGUCCUGCAUCCAUGCGCUUCGAGCACCACAAGCUGAGUGCCGUCUCAUUCCAUCAUAUUUGAGGGAAGGCAGACUACAGUGAGUGCUGGACGGAGCAGUGAGUGAAAACAACUCCAUUAAGCCAAAAAACACAACAAAACCAAAGCA